rnacentral:tRNA from 1 species
UGCCCGAGCGGUUAAUGGGGACGGACUGUAAAUUCGUUGACGAUUGUCUACCCUGGUUGAAAUCCAGCUCGGCCCAA